AUGCGCCCCCGAAAUUCCAUGUUUUUCGACGCAAGUGGUUUCUUUCUUCCCACAUUGGAUCGGUGGUGCAUCAUAUCUGAUAUGUUUAUAUCUGGUGGUGCUUUGGUUAUGAGUGGCCACACGAGUAAACAAGAAUUGUUGGUGAUAUGUGGAGGCAGAGAACAUAUGGUUGACAGAUCAGCCCCUCCUAUGUCUCUCUCUCUCUGCUUUCAAGUUUCAACAGAAGAGACGGGAAAGAGAGAUGGAUGGAGGGGUAGAACAACUUCUCAAACCUCCCUCUCUUUUAAAAAGCUUGUGAGCCUUUCUCCUCUCUAUUAUUCCUUUUCUGAAACGAUUUUUCUCUCUCUAUUCAAUGCCCCUUUUGGUCGAGUACUUGCCGUCUCAGAGGAGCGCGGCCAAUGGGGGACGAAAGGUGGUUGCAAGGAGUGGGGCAGGAGGAGACAGAAACGCUGA
rnacentral:rRNA from 1 species